rnacentral:rRNA from 1 species
GACGGAGGGUGCUAGCGUUGUUCGGAAUGACUGGGCGUAAAGGGCGCGUAGGCGGCCGCUUGCGCCGGAUGUGAAAGCCCGGGGCUCAACCCCGGAACGGCAUCCGAUACGGGGCGGCUCGAGACCGAGAGAGGUGAGUGGAAUACCCAGUGUAGAGGUGAAAUUCGUAGAUAUUGGGUGGAACACCGGUGGCGAAAGCGGCUCACUGGCUCGGUUCUGACGCUGAGGCGCGAAAGCGUGGGGAGCAAACAGG